rnacentral:tRNA from 1 species
UCCUCGGUAGCUCAAUUGGCAGAGCGGUCGGCUGUUAACCGAUUGGUUGUAGGUUCAAGUCCUACCCGAGGAGCCA